CUGGUAUUCCGGAGAGCAUGCCAGUUUGAGUGUCAU
rnacentral:rRNA from 1 species